rnacentral:rRNA from 1 species
GAUGAACGCUGGCGGCGUGCCUAAUACAUGCAAGUAGAACGCUGAAGCUUGGUGCUUGCACCGAGCGGAUGAGUUGCGAACGGGUGAGUAACGCGUAGGUAACCUGCCUCUUAGCGGGGGAUAACUAUUGGAAACGAUAGCUAAUACCGCAUAAAAGUCGAUAUCGCAUGAUAUUGAUUUGAAAGGUGCAAAUGCAUCACUAAGAGAUGGACCUGCGUUGUAUUAGCUAGUUGGUGAGGUAACGGCUCACCAAGGCGACGAUACAUAGCCGACCUGAGAGGGUGAUCGGCCGCCCUGGGACUGAGACACGGCCCAGACUCCUACGGGAGGCAGCAGUAGGGAAUCUUCGGCAAUGGGGGCAACCCUGACCGAGCAACGCCGCGUGAGUGAAGAAGGUUUUCGGAUCGUAAAGCUCUGUUGUAAGAGAAGAACGAGUGUGAGAGUGGAAAGUUCACACUGUGACGGUAACUUACCAGAAAGGGACGGCUAACUACGUG